ACAUUUCCAGGAUGAGUUCAUUUCUGAUACAUCUGCACGUGGACGUGGAGACGGGCGUAUGCCAGGUUUUUGUGCAUACGCACGCUUUGUACAUGAGGCC